GAUGAACGCUAGCGGCAGGCUUAAUACAUGCAAGUCGUGGGGCAGCAUGAGUGUAGCAAUACAUUUGAUGGCGACCGGCAAACGGGUGCGGAACACGUACACAACCUUCCUAUAAGUGGGGAAUAGCCCAGAGAAAUUUGGAUUAAUACCCCGUAACAUAACGAUGUGGCAUCACAUUGUUAUUAUAGCUUCGGCGCUUAUUGAUGGGUGUGCGGCUGAUUAGAUAGUUGGCGGGGUAACGGCCCACCAAGUCUACGAUCAGUAGCUGAUGUGAGAGCAUGAUCAGCCACACGGGCACUGAGACACGGGCCCGACUCCUACGGGAGGCAGCAGUAAGGAAUAUUGGUCAAUGGACGCAAGUCUGAACCAGCCAUGCCGCGUGAAGGAUUAAGGUCCUCUGGAUUGUAAACUUCUUUUAUCUGGGACGAAAAAAGGCUUUUCCAAGUCACUUGACGGUACCAGAUGAAUAAGCACCGGCUAACUCCGUGCCAGCAGCCGCCGUAAGAC
rnacentral:rRNA from 1 species